ACGCACGCUGGCGGCGUGCUUCACCCCUGCCAGUCGCACGGAAAGGCCCUGCUUGCAGGGUACUCGAGUGGCGAACGGGUGAGUAACACGUGGGUGAUCUGCCCUGCACUUCGGGAUAAGCCUGGGAAACUGGGUCUAAUACCGGAUAUGACCUUCCAUGUAGUGUGGGGGGUGGAAAGAUUUAUCGGUGUGGGAUGAGCCCGCGGCCUAUCAGCUUGUUGGUGGGGUAAUGGCCUACCAAGGCGUCGACGGGUAGCCGGCCUGAGAGGGUGGACGGCCACAUUGGGACUGAGAUACGGCCCAGACUCCUACGGGAGGCAGCAGUGGGGAAUAUUGCACAAUGGGCGGAAGCCUGAUGCAGCGACGCCGCGUGGGGGAUGACGGCCUUCGGGUUGUAAACCUCUUUCGACAGGGACGAAGCUUCGGUGACGGUACCUGUAUAAGAAGCACCGGCUAACUACGUG
rnacentral:rRNA from 1 species